UACAUAGGUUCCAAGCGUUGUUCGGAUUCAUUGGGCUUAAAGGGUGCGUAGGCGGCUCGGCAAGUCGGGUGUGAAAUCUCGGGGCUUAACUCCGGAACUGCAUUCGAUACUGCCGUGCUUGAGGACUGGAGAGGAGACUGGAAUUUACGGUGUAGCGGUGAAAUGCGUAGAUAUCGGAAGGAAGACCAGUGGCGAAGGCGGGUCUCUGGACAGUUCCUGACGCUGAGGCACGAAGGCCAGGGGAGCAAACGGG
rnacentral:rRNA from 1 species